UGAUACUGUAGAGAUUACCCAACA
rnacentral:piRNA from 1 species